rnacentral:rRNA from 1 species
AUCCUGGCUCAGAACGAACGCUGGCGGCGCGUUUUAAGCAUGCAAGUCGAACGGUAGAGUGGACUUCGGUCCAUUUGAGAGUGGCGGACGGGUGAGUAACACGUAGGUAAUCUAGCUUGGGGAUGGGGAUAGCCCAUGGAAACAUGGGGUAAUACCGGAUACGCCUGAUUAGUCUAAGGAGUAGUCAGGGAAAGGCGCGGAUGCGCCGCCCUGGGAUGAGCCUGCGGCUUAUUAGUUAGUUGGUAGGGUAAGAGCCUACCAAGGCGACGAUAAGUAGCCGGCCUGAGAGGGUGGACGGCCACACUGGGACUGAGAUACGGCCCAGACUCCUACGGGAGGCAGCAGCUAAGAAUCUUCCGCAAUGGGCGCAAGCCUGACGGAGCGACGCCGCGUGGGUGAUGAAGGCCUAACGGUUGUAAAGCCCUUUUCUUGCCGAGGAAUAAGGUCGUGAGGAAAUGCGCGAUUGAUGACGGUAAGCAAGGAAUAAGCCCCGGCCAAUUACGUGCCAGCAGCCGCGGUAACACGUAUGGGGCGAGCGUUGUUCGGAAUUAUUGGGCGUAAAGGGCACGUAGGCGGUUAACUAAGCUCGGUGUGAAAGGUCACGGCUCAACCGUGGGAACGCGCUGGGAACUGGUUGACUGGAGUUCAGGCGGGGAAGCUGGAAUUCCUGGUGUAGGGGUGAAAUCUGUAGAUAUCAGGAAGAACACCGGCGGCGAAGGCGAGCUUCUAACCAUGAACUGACGCUGAGGUGCGAAAGCGUGGGGAGCGAACAGGAUUAGAUACCCUGGUAGUCCACGCUGUAAACGAUGUGCACUAGGUGUUGGCCCCG